rfam:Otolemur garnettii contig177332, whole genome shotgun sequence.
GCCGGGCAUUGUGGCGAGCACCUGUGGUCCCAGCUACUUGGGAGGCUGAAGCAGGAGACUUGCCUGAGCCCAGGAGUUGGAGGCUGCUGUGAGCUGUGAUGCCACGGCACUCCACCCAGGGGGACAGCUUGAGACUGUCUCAAAAAAAAGAAGAAAGUCUCCAUUGGUGCUAAUACAUCUUUUUUUUUUUUUGAGACAGAGCCUCAAGCUGUUCCCCUGGGUAGAGUGCCAUGGCAUUACAGCUCACAGCAACCUCCAACUCCUGGGCUCAAGCGAGUCUCCUGCCUCAG